UUUUUAGCAGCUCCCCGAGGCAUGUGGAAUCUUAGUGCCUGACUAGGGAAAGGGGACGACAGAGGAUGAGA
rnacentral:miRNA from 2 species